CAUUCACCUACAGAUUUGGUACCUGGAUUUCUGUCCAUGGUGAUUUCUAUCACCUUACUACUGAAGAAGAUACCAUCCCAGUAGACCACUAUGACCCAAGGGACAUUCAACCAUCAUGAUGUGGUCUUCACCUCCAUUCCUGUCCUUCUCUACCCAGAUUGAGCACCAUCCUUUA
rfam:Myotis brandtii contig195165, whole genome shotgun sequence.